GUCGGGUGAGCCUAGUGUCCUGAGUCAGAGAUUCGCGAACCCGGCCGUGCGAUGACGUUUAUCUCUAUCGACCGAGGUUAUUUUUUAUGUCUACCGGUAUUGUUAAGUGGUUCAACGAAUCCAAGGGAUUCGGUUUCAUCGCCCCGGAAGAGGGCGGCGCCGAUGUCUUCGUGCAUUACUCCGCCAUCCAGGCCGAGGGCUUCAAGACCCUGGCCGAAGGCCAGCGCGUGAGCUUCCAGGUGCAGCAGGGUCCGAAGGGCCUGCAGGCCGUGAAUGUCACGCCGGCAUAAGGGACUGAAUCAGAACCGGACCCGAAAUAAAGAACCCCGCCAGUGGCGGGGUUCUUUAU
rnacentral:other from 1 species